rnacentral:rRNA from 1 species
AUUGAACGCUGGCGGCAUGCUUUACACAUGCAAGUCGGACGGCAGCACAGAGAAGCUUGCUUCUUGGGUGGCGAGUGGCGAACGGGUGAGUAACAUAUCGGAACGUACCGAGCAGUGGGGGAUAACUAAUCGAAAGAUUAGCUAAUACCGCAUAUUUUCUGAGGAAGAAAGCAGGGGACCAUUUGGCCUUGCGCUGUUUGAGCGGCCGAUAUCUGAUUAGCUAGUUGGUGGGGUAAAGGCCUACCAAGGCGACGAUCAGUAGCGGGUCUGAGAGGAUGAUCCGCCACACUGGGACUGAGACACGGCCCAGACUCCUACGGGAGGCAGCAGUGGGGAAUUUUGGACAAUGGGCGCAAGCCUGAUCCAGCCAUGCCGCGUGUCUGAAGAAGGCCUUCGGGUUGUAAAGGACUUUUGUCAGGGAAGAAAAGGGCGGGGUUAAUACCCCUGUCUGAUGACGGUACCUGAAGAAUAAGCACCGGCUAACUACGUGCCAGCAGCCGCGGUAAUACGUAGGGUGCGAGCGUUAAUCGGAAUUACUGGGCGUAAAGCGGGCGCAGACGGUUACUUAAGCAGGAUGUGAAAUCCCCGGGCUCAACCUGGGAACUGCGUUCUGAACUGGGUGGCUAGAGUGUGUCAGAGGGAGGUAGAAUUCCACGUGUAGCAGUGAAAUGCGUAGAGAUGUGGAGGAAUACCGAUGGCGAAGGCAGCCUCCUGGGAUAACACUGACGUUCAUGCCCGAAAGCGUGGGUAGCAAACAGGAUUAGAUACCCUGGUAGUCCACGCCCUAAACGAUGUCGAUCAGCUGUUGGGCAGCAUGACUGCUUAGUAGCGAAGCUAACGCGUGAAAUCGACCGCCUGGGGAGUACGGUCGCAAGAUUAAAACUCAAAGGAAUUGACGGGGACCCGCACAAGCGGUGGAUGAUGUGGAUUAAUUCGAUGCAACGCGAAGAACCUUAUCUGGUCUUGACAUGUACGGAACCCUCCAGAGACGGAGGGGUGCCUUCGGGAGCCGUAACACAGGUGCUGCAUGGCUGUCGUCAGCUCGUGUCGUGAGAUGUUGGGUUAAGUCCCGCAACGAGCGCAACCCUUGUCAUUAGUUGCCAUCAUUAAGUUGGGCACUCUAAUGAGACUGCCGGUGACAAGCCGGAGGAAGGUGGGGAUGACGUCAAGUCCUCAUGGCCCUUAUGACCAGGGCUUCACACGUCAUACAAUGGUCGGUACAGAGGGUAGCCAAGCCGCGAGGUGGAGCCAAUCUCACAAAACCGAUCGUAGUCCGGAUUGCACUCUGCAACUCGAGUGCAUGAAGUCGGAAUCGCUAGUAAUCGCAGGUCAGCAUACUGCGGUGAAUACGUUCCCGGGUCU